ACCCCAUAAAUAAAGUNUUAAACUUUUUUUAGAA
rnacentral:tRNA from 1 species